GUUCCCGCAUUUCCAGAAUAUGAUUACGCCGUUGCCCUUACAGUCGACAGUAUCAGUGCGCGUAAAUAGGCAUUGCUUAACACGGCUGUAGAGCUGGCUGCUUUUAUAUCGGUACAAUUUAACUCAUUCGGGCAAAUUAAUUGUGUGCACCAAAAUCAGGCCAAGCAGCUCCCCGGUGGCUACUGGGAACCCAUCAGGGGCCAGAAGACCGACUAUGCGCCACGAAUAUAGAAGCUUAAGGCUAACAAUGGUGUUAGGAAAACCGAGUCAUGGUGUAAAUAAUGUGGUCAGCAGGUGUCAAGAAGCUGUCGUUAUUUUAGCCUGCCUCGUAGGAACAACAACAUCGCCGAUUAAGGCAAUAGGCGGACGGGACAGAAACAGCACUGGCUGUUCGUAUAAUACCAGUCCAGUUUAUACAACCGCAGCUUCGAAUACUAUUAACUUUUCGGGGCAACUACCGAGGCUAUUUGCGAUUUCUCACCGUCCAGAAUUGACACACGACAGAGCAAAAUGGCAUUUUAUCAAGAUAAGGUGACGAGGGCGGUUAUAUCAGCAGCGUCGACGGCGACGGUGAAGCCAAUGUCGACUGAAGCGUAUUCGUACUUAUCAUUAGCGCGUAAUAGUAUAAAUCCAUACACUAAAUAUGUUACCGGGCCCAUUUUGAAACGGUGAUGGAACAUUGAGGAGCUUUUUGCUUUGAUUGACUUUUGCUACUGCUGCUGCUGCUGUCCAAUCGCAGUUCCUAUAGUGCUAUUAUACUUACCACCAUUGUUAAACGACGUUAUUCAACUGCCGGACGAUCCUUUAUAGUUCAAGCACGCCUUCAGGGACAGCAAGGACAAUACGCAGUUAUCUUAUCUUCCUAAAUGAAUCCUGUUUAGCCACUUGGGGCAUCUAAUCAUCAACAGUCAGCCCGACGCGAAUCCUUUCAGCGUGCCCAAGACUUUCCGGUGCGUAUUUCGAACGAGAUCCGCCUUGUGCAAUUUGUCCGCGAUACAGCUGAUUAACUAGAACUUACUCAUAUCUUCACUGACACAUCUAUAGUUCUCAGCAAUGCGAAAGGAGAAGAAGGUAUCAAGGCGAGGUACGACACAAACCGCAGCAACGGUGGCCGAAACGAUGGCAGCAUAAUGGUAGAAAAAAAUUGAUCUAGGUUAGAUUAUUAUCUGAAGUACGUAACAAAGAAUUCAUUUUACAACACCCCAUUAACUUGAGAAUUAAACGCAUGUGUGGUUAUCAAUACUUAUUUACGGCUGUGCGCAUCUCCGCUGACAACAUAGCUACGCUUUUUUUAAAUCGGAAAUUAUAAUGCAGAGUAUAAGCAAUAUAAACGUAUUCGGUUCUGUAUCGUUAUUUAAUUCUCUAUGGUGUAACGGCAGCAGGGGUACCUUAGCGAACAUUGUACGUGGACAGUUUUACAUCAGAUCUGUCAACUUUCUUCAUAUAUGUUUGCGAAGCUGGUUAUCCCCCCAAUACGUUUCUGGUAGGUGUAGUCCCUCAAUACCCUAACAUAAUAUCCCAUAACCGUUAAGUAGUAGACUUUCGCUUGUCCCUAAUAUUUAUGGAACAUCCCGUGUCCUGAAAUGAUCAUUAUUGUCUAUUGAUGGCUAAUGGCUGGACAUGAUAGUACGCGUGAUUGCAUCAAUUUACCCUUCAUAAAAGUCAGCCUUCAUUCCGAACCAUUUCCCGGAACACGUCGUAAAAUAUAACUGUGUUUAACAAUGUUGUUGAAAGGUAUUUUCAUAGUCACGAUCUUAUGAUUGUAAGUUCACAUUCUCAUUACACUGAUACAGCCGCGGAUUUGGGUUUUUUUAGAGAAAAAAACAAAAAAAAAAAAGCAUUUUUUAGUGAACUCUUUGUUGCCGAA
rnacentral:lncRNA from 1 species